ACUCCUGCGGGAGGCAGCAGUGAGGAAUAUUGGACAAUGGGUGGAAGCCUGAUCCAGCCAUCCCGCGUGCAGGAAGACGGCCCUAUGGGUUGUAAACUGCUUUUAUCUGGGGAUAAACCUACUUACGUGUAAGUAGCUGAAGGUACCAGAAGAAUAAGCACCGGCUAACUCCGUGCCAGCAGCCGCGGUAAUACGGAGGGUGCAAGCGUUAUCCGGAUUUAUUGGGUUUAAAGGGUCCGUAGGCGGACUGAUAAGUCAGUGGUGAAAUCCGACAGCUUAACUGUCGAACUGCCAUUGAUACUGUUAGUCUUGAGUAAGGUUGAAGUGGCUGGAAUAAGUAGUGUAGCGGUGAAAUGCAUAGAUAUUACUUAGAACACCAAUUGCGAAGGCAGGUCACUAAGUCUUAACUGACGCUGAUGGACGAAAGCGUGGGGAGCGAACAGGAUUAGAAACCCUAGUAGUCCCAUG
rnacentral:rRNA from 1 species